CCCCCCCCCUUUUUACCCCCAUACUUUGACCCCCAUCCCACUCAAGACCGCUCCCCAUUUAAGAUCCCCCCCAUUUAAAGAUCCCGCUCCCAUUCAAGGACACCCCCCCCCCAUAUUCAAGACCCCCCCCCUCAAGACCCCCCCCCCAGUUCAAGAACCCCACCCAAUUCAAGACCCCCCCCAUAAUUCAAGACCCCCCCAAUUCAAGACACGCCCCCCACAAUUCAAGGCCCCCCCCCCAAUUCAAGGCCCCCCCCCAUAUUCCAGACACCCCCCCAGUUCAAGACCCCCCCCCCUACUUCAAGACCCCCCCCAUAUUCAAGACCCCCCCGCCUAAUUUCAGACCCCCCCCCCUCCACUCGUGCAAUGGAGGAAGGGGGGUUGGGGGGGGGGGGUUGUGCCAAUGGAUAAAGCAGCGUGCAGGAUAUUGGGGGGGGCUCUUGUUGCAACAGGAUUGGGGGGGGGGGGAAAGGGAACAGAUCCUCGUGCAAUGGAUCCUUGUGCAAUGGAUCCUUGUGCAAGGGAUUCUCAAGCACCAGGACUUGGGGGGGGGAGCAGCAGAUCCUCGUGCAAGGGAUGAGUGUGCAAGAGAUCAUCGUGCGAGGGAUCGUCGUGCAAGGGAUUCUCAAGCACCAGGACUUGGAAUGGGGGGGGGACUUGUGCAACACAUCCACGUGCAACCCACCGUCAUGCAAAGCAUCCACGUGCAAAGAUCCUCGUGCAAAGAACCUUCGUGCAAAAGGCACAAGUCCUCGUGCAAAAGCAAGUCCUCGUGCAAAGGAUUCGUCGUGCAAAGAACCCUCGUGCAAAAGGCACGUCCUCAUGCAAAGGCAAGUCCUCGUGCAAAGGAUUCAUUGUGCAAAGAACCCUCGUGCAAAGGGUUUAUUAGUGCAAAGGAUUCCUCGUGCAAAAGUGCAUCACCACCUCAUGCAUCACCUCCAUGUGCACAAGGACUGGGGGGGGGUCGUGCAACAGCCCCUCGUGCAAAGGACCCUCGUGCAACAGGACUCCCAGCAUCCACAUCAGCUCCUCGUGCAUCAACCCCUCGUGCAACGGGCCCUGGUGCAAAAUGGGGUCACCUCCUCGUGCAUCACACCCUCGUGCAACAGCUCCUCGUGCACAACUGGACUGGGUAAGACCUCGUGCAACACCAUCAAGUCCUCGUGCAACACCAGCUCCUCGUGCACGGACAGCCCCUCGUGCAACACCAUCAAGUCCUCGUGCAACAUCAGCUCCUCCUCGUGCAACACCAGCCCCUCGUGCAACACCAGGACCUGAAUCCCACCCACCCCCCAUGAUCCCAUUUGAUCCCAUUUGCACUUGGGGGGGGGGGGGGGAUCCUCGUGCGUUGGCACCACGCGCUUUGAAGGGUGGGCGGGGGUUG
rnacentral:lncRNA from 1 species